AUUGAACGCUGGCGGCAUGCUUUACACAUGCAAGUCGAACGGUAACAGCACUUCGGUGGCUGACGAGUGGCGAACGGGUGAGUAAUACAUCGGAACGUGCCUAGUAGUGGGGGAUAACUACUCGAAAGAGUAGCUAAUACCGCAUGAGAUCUAAGGAUGAAAGCAGGGGACCUUCGGGCCUUGCGCUACUAGAGCGGCUGAUGGCAGAUUAGGUAGUUGGUGGGAUAAAAGCUUACCAAGCCGACGAUCUGUAGCUGGUCUGAGAGGACGACCAGCCACACUGGGACUGAGACACGGCCCAGACUCCUACGGGAGGCAGCAGUGGGGAAUUUUGGACAAUGGGCGCAAGCCUGAUCCAGCAAUGCCGCGUGCAGGAUGAAGGCCUUCGGGUUGUAAACUGCUUUUGUACGGAACGAAAAGCCCUCUUCUAAUACAGGAGGGUCAUGACGGUGCCGUAAGAAUAAGCACCGGCUAACUACGUG
rnacentral:rRNA from 1 species